rnacentral:rRNA from 1 species
ACAGCAGUAGCCGCGGGAAUACGUAGGGUGCAAGCGUUAAUCGGAAUUACUGGGCGUAAAGCGUGCGCAGGCGGUUCUAUAAGACAGAUGUGAAAUCCCCGGGCUCAACCUGGGAACUGCAUUUGUGACUGUAGAGCUGGAGUGCGGCAGAGGGGGAUGGAAUUCCGCGUGUAGCAGUGAAAUGCGUAGAUAUGCGGAGGAACACCGAUGGCGAAGGCAAUCCCCUGGGCCUGCACUGACGCUCAUGCACGAAAGCGUGGGGAGCAAACAGGAUUAGAUACCCGUGUAGUCCCUGUCUCUUAUAU